ensembl:misc_RNA 7SK 7SK RNA
GGAUAUGAGAGCGAUCUGGCUGAGACGUCUGUUACCCUAUUGAUCGCCAGGGUGGAUUUGACGACCUGGCUAGCUAGGCGUGUGUGCUCUUCUUCCCUCACUGCUUUAUGUGAGUCCCUCAAUAAGUGUGCACUCAGUGGAAGAGGACGUCCAUCCCCCAGAGAAGAGGACCAGUCUUUGAUCAAAGGUAUAGGAGUAGCUGCGCUCCCCUGCUAGACUCUCCAAACAUGCUAUUUUUUUUUUCUUUUUUUUUGAGAUGGAGUCUCACUCUGUCGCUAGGCUGGAGUGCAAAGGCAUGAUCUCAACUCACUGCAACCUCUGCCUCCCGGGU